GCAUAUCAAUAAGCGGAGGAAAAGAAACCAACAGGGAUUGCCCCAGUAACGGCGAGUGAAGCGGCAACAGCUCAAAUUUGAAAUCUGGCCCCUAGGGCCCGAGUUGUAAUUUGCAGAGGAUGCUUUUGGCAAGGUGCCUUCCGAGUUCCCUGGAACGGGACGCCAUAGAGGGUGAGAGCCCCGUCUGGUUGGAUGCCGAGCCUCUGUAAAGCUCCUUCGACGAGUCGAGUAGUUUGGGAAUGCUGCUCUAAAUGGGAGGUAUAUGUCUUCUAAAGCUAAAUACCGGCCAGAGACCGAUAGCGCACAAGUAGAGUGAUCGAAAGAUGAAAAGCACUUUGAAAAGAGGGUUAAAUAGUACGUGAAAUUGUUGAAAGGGAAGCACUUAUGACCAGACUUGGACCCGGUGAAUCAUCCAGCGUUCUCGCUGGUGCACUUUGCCGGGCUCAGGCCAGCAUCAGUUUGCCCCGGGGGAUAAAGGCUUUGGGAAUGUGGCUCCCUCGGGAGUGUUAUAGCCCAUUGCACAAUACCCUGGGGCGGACUGAGGUUCGCGCAUCUGCAAGGAUGCUGGCGUAAUGGUCAUCAGUGACCCGUCUUGAAACACGGACCCA
rnacentral:rRNA from 1 species